rnacentral:pre_miRNA from 1 species
UUUAGGGGUGGAUCUGACGUCCCUGAGUGUAUGUGGUGAACCUGAAUUUGCCUUGGGUUUCCUCAUAUUCAUUCAGGAGUGUCAGUCACCCCUACAC